rnacentral:rRNA from 1 species
UACGUAGGGUGCAAGCGUUGUCCGGAAUUAUUGGGCGUAAAGAGCUCGUAGGCGGUCUGUCGCGUCGGCUGUGAAAUCCCGAGGCUCAACCUCGGGUCUGCAGUCGAUACGGGCAAACUAGAGUAUUGCAGGGGAGACUGGAAUUCCUGGUGUAGCGGUGAAAUGCGCAGAUAUCAGGAGGAACACCGGUGGCGAAGGCGGGUCUCUGGGCAAUAACUGACGCUGGAGGAGCGAAAGCGUGGGGAGCAAACGGG